CCAAUAGCGUAUAUUAAAGUUGUUGCAGUUAAAAAGCUCGUAGUUGAACUGCAGGCCUGUCCAGAUGGUCCGCCUUAAUUGGUGUGUACUGUCCUUGGGUGGGUCCUACCUUCUGGCGAAGCGGCAUGGCCUUAGUUGGUUGUGUCGGGGAACCAGGACUUUUACUGUGAAAAAAUUAGAGUGUUCAAAGCAGGCAUAUAUGCUCGAAUACAUUAGCAUGGAAUAAUGGAAUAGGACGAUGGUUCUAUUUUGUUGGUUCUAGGACCGUUGUAAUGAUUAAUAGGGAUAGUUGGGGGCAUUAGUAUUCAAUUGUCAGAGGUGAAAUUCUUGGAUUUAUUGAAGACUAACUACUGCGAAAGCAUUUGCCAAGGAUGUUUUCAUUAAUCAAGAACGAAAGUUAGGGGAUCGAAGACGAUCAGAUACCGUCGUAGUCUUAACCAUAAACUAUGCCGACUAGGAAUCGGGCGAUGUUGACAAAAUGACUCGCUCGGCACCUCAUG
rnacentral:misc_RNA from 1 species